rnacentral:lncRNA from 1 species
CUGAAGCUGAGGCUGCUCAAAGCCAGCCAUGGUUUUGUCUGCCUCUGCUGAAAUCCCCCAGUACUCCCACCUCAUCCCCCAUGCCGCUCCCCCCACAAUGUGCCGGCUCCAGCAGUGGCGGUGGGUCUGCCAUGCCUCUGCGCUCUCUGGGGCCAGGGGGCCAGGACAGAUACGUCCGGAGAAGUUCCUUGGGAAAGCAACUUCAAUCUGGGGUGAAUCUGGUCUGCUUGUCACAUAUGAAGAUACAAAAGGAGGAAAGGGGAAAUGGAAAAAAGGGAAAUUGGUCCAAUAACCAUUUAAUGGGCUGAUCCAGGAUGGCAAUCAGGGCAGAGGGAGGAAGAAGCCAGAUGGAGGCACUGGCUUUGCCCAGCAAGCUUGUCAGCCAUACUUCAGAAUCAAGUGAGCCCAGGAUGGGCCAGUGAAGCUGGACCAGGGCCUCGGUACCUAGGAGUGAGGGCUGCACAUGCCCGUUUCAUGCGCUCGCCUCUGCAGGGCUGCACUGCGACUCCAGACAGAACACGCUCAGAAACGUAUUUCCUCUGCAAGCUGGACCUUCCAUAAAAUCACAGCAGCAGCAUGUCACCUUCACAGGCGACAUGGGGAGCGGGGGACGUGUCCCCCAACUUCAGUGUCAAGGAAGGCAGCCUCGUCACAGCUAUGGGGGCACAAGACCACAGACCCAGGCAUGGGGACCCCUCCCUGGUGCCCAGCUGGGGCAGCCAGCCCCGGGGCAGCCAGCCCCGGGGCAGCGCCGUCCUGUAACCAGAGGAGGAUCUUGUUCCCCCCAACCCACCCAACACACUGCGUGUUUCUAAGGCUGUCCCAAGUUUCCGUUCCCAUAUCAAAAGCACCUCUUUUCUGCUGAGGCGGCAAGACCUGCCAACAAAACAAGCCUCUGGGACCCACGUUUCUGUAACACGCCUUCCCUUGAAAAGCACUUCAAUGAAUCAUUGAGGUUAAGUAGUAUCGGCAGCUGGGUUGGUGGAAGAAAUCCUUGUGAAAGUCAGACAGAGGUGCUUGGGCAGGGGUCCCCCUGUGCCCUGCCCACCCCCCAGGUACCCCAAUCUUGACUGACAGCACCUCCUCUCCAGGCCCCCAAACGGAAAACCAGACAUGCCUGAGAUCCUGCACACGGAGCCAGAUGAUUCCUUCCUUGGGAAGUGAUCCUUUUAGCAGCGAAGGAGCCAGUCACCCUGAGUGCCCUGCAUCUGGUCAUGACCCCCACCCCUCGACCCCACCUGGGGAGCCCAUCGGUCUGCCGCUGAGGCAUUGCCUGGGGGCCGGUUGGAAAUGCAGAAUCUUGGGCCUGGCCCCAGCCGACUGCCUCUGAGCAGCCCUAUCACAGGUGAUCUCUGUGCCCAGGUGGGUUGGGGCUGUGGCCUGGGUCCUCAAGGCAGAGGUUGGCAGGAAACACAUCAGAAAGAAAGAAAACGGAGGCUCAUCCAGCCCAUUCCAGGAAGCCAGUCCUGAAACAUAACGGACUCCCAAGAAAACAAAUCUAGAAGCCGACAAGUUAACAGAAGUCACAGGCAGAGCCUGGCAGGGCCCUGUCCUCGCUAGACCCACAAGGGCGAGGGGUGCACGGAACAGGCUAUGGAUUCCUUGGCCCCCGAUGUUCUAGAAGCCCUUGGCUGAUCGGGGUCUUGGGAAGCCCAAGGCGGUGGCAACACCUCUUCCAGGCCCUCCUCUGCGUCCCAGCUCUCUCUGCUCCUCCAGAUAGCCCCGAUUCCCCAACUAGCCAAGCCAGCCCGCAGCCUUCAGGAGCCUCAUGCUUUCUUGCAGCCACACCUGCAGCCCUUGCUUUCACUUCAAACAACCCCACCCGACCCGAAUCCGGGCCAUCCGAGAUCAAUCCUGGCCCUCUCGGCCCCGGAGCUGUCCCUGGCUGGCCUCCACGACCUGGGCUGUUUCACAGCAGGUCUCCAUCUCCCUGCAAAAAUCUCCCCCAGAACUAGCUCAGGACCCUGGAUCCUGCCGGAAUCUAGAAUGAAGGUCAUCCCUGGCCCCUAGCAGCACCNNNNNNNNNNNNNNNNNNNNNNNNNNNNNNNNNNNNNNNNNNNNNNNNNNNNNNNNNNNNNNNNNNNNNNNNNNNNNNNNNNNNNNNNNNNNNNNNNNNNNNNNNNNNNNUGUUUCGGGCCAGUGCCCAGAGAGGGGGGAGCUCCAGGAGGGAAGCCCUCGAUCCCCGGGCUGGGGGAGACGGAAGUGGAGUGCAGGCAGCUCGCUGGUGCCCCAGGAGCAGGGUGCUUCCCUGCCAGUGGCCGGGCUCUGUGGGUCCCCAGGCCUCCCUCGCCCGGCUGGAUCAGCCCUGGCCAGAGUGAGCUCCACCGUCACCAAGGGGAAGCGGCCCUUGGUUACCGCUGGCUGGGAGAACACAGAAGGCAAAACAAACACUGGACUGGCUCCUCACUGCUGGGAACAAUUACAAGGUAAUCGGCCAGUUUUUAAAAGCCCUCCAGAAGGGAGGCUGCUGGCCCAAGGGGAGACUGGUUUGUAAGCCAUUCCCUCCCUCUUGCUGCGGCUGCGUCCUCCUCAAGACCCAGGGACCCUCUCUCCACGCCACACAGGGACCCCCAGCAGAGCAAGACUGGAGUCUCAGAGGAAGCAGGGCACACAGUCCCAGGUGGGCAGCACGCCACUUCAGUGCCCAAAGCACGUUCCAGAAUCCUGGCCAGCCUGCACGGGCAGACUCGCCUCAUCCCCCUUCCUAGAUCCCUUCUAGAAAGCAACAACCAGCUCUCUUGUCCCCAAGCAACUUGUCAUGAAACUAACAGAAACUCACCAGCAAAGAGUAAAGAGCUCAUUUGCCAGGCUCCAGCUGGGGCUGGUGGACUAUCUGCCAGGAUGGUGCCCAGACCAUGGCCAUCCCCCAAGGACUGUCCCCAGGGAACGGGGGUGCUUCAGGUACAGCCCGGGCACUCAUCCCCAACUGUUACCUUUCAGCAGACCUGGGACCCUCAGCCAGUCACAUACCUCCUCUGAGAAGACAUCCCGGAGCUUGGGGUUUUGGUUGUGACCCCAGACUCAUAAGCAGAAACCGUGGGGAGCCCCCAGUGGAGAGGGGGAGGGCUGAGUGACACCCAGCCCCAUCUCCAGGUCCCCCCCGGUGGGGGCACGUGCAGGAAAAGGUUUCCUCCGCCCCCACCACGUCUUGCAGGCACUGGUUUCAAGCCU